CUUCUUUCGAUUGGGGACCAAAAACAAAUCUCUGCUGUACUGUGAAAUCUGUGAUGAGGAAGGCAAAGCUUCAGAGAAAAGAAAAAAUCAUAAUCCUUGUUUGUUUCUUCUUUCACAUCUAAUUCCUUUUAAGUUUUAUCUUAUAAAAGUAAACCUAAUCUACUUCCGGUUGAUACUUAUCAAAAUUAUUUAUUAAAACAAAAACAAGACAAAUUUCUUAAUCGGGAAAUUUGUCAGAGAAUUUGAGGUAAGACUUCCGACGAAGAUGCAACGGAAAUGUGGAAGGUGGUCGGAGAUAGAGAAACUGGUAAACUUCCCCCCUAUUCAUUUAUUAACCGUGUCAAAUCCAAUCGCAUCUCUUCUUUGGAACUUUCAAACUACAAAGAAAUCGUCUCUGCUCAUAAAGGAGCUGUCAAUUCUCUCCAGGUUGAUUUGAUCGAAGGACGGUAUCUGUUAGCUGGUGCUUCUGAUGGUUCAAUUGCAGUUUACGAUGUUCAAAGUGCCACAAAACAUGAAGGAAAUGGCAUGGUUGCGAAGCAUGAGCACAUAUUAGUUGUUGACAAGCGCCACGAGCAAGGUCAUAAAUAUGCAGUGUCCUCGGCCACUUGGUAUCCAGUUGACACAGGGCUUUUCAUCAGUGGUUCUUAUGAUCAGUCUGUAAAUGUAUGGGAUACCAAUACAACACGAGUGGUAGUAGAUUUUAAAUUGCCUGGAAAGGUCUAUCGAACAGCUAUGUCGUCAGUAGCUGGUUCUCACAUGCUAAUUGCUACUGGAACUGAAGAUGUUCAAGUUCGUCUAUGUGACAUUGCUUCAGGGGCAUUUACACACACAUUAUCUGGUCAUCGUGAUGGUGUAAUGGCAGUCGAAUGGUCUACUUCUAGUGAGUGGGUUCUGGUUACUGGCGGAUGUGAUGGAGCAAUACGUUUUUGGGACAUAAGGAGAGCAGGAUGUUUUCAAGUUUUAGACCAAUCUCGAUCUCAACUUGGGAGACGACCGCCUCUCCUUGAACACUUUCCGACAAAAGUAUCAACACCAAAAUCCUUUUCAGCAGGUCAAUCUUCUACCAUCAAGGUGAGGGCACCACAAAAGAAAACAGCUAAUGGUACUGGUGCAAAGCGGGUGCCAUCCCUUUAUAGAGUUCCAAGUCAGACCAAGGGUUCAACCGGGAAGAGAUUACAUCCUGGGUUGUUGUCCAGUCAUGAUCGGGCUACAGCUCACUAUGGUGCUGUUACUGGGCUAAAAGUAACUGAAAAUGGAAUGUAUUUGUUGAGCGCAGGCUCUGAUUCACGAUUGAGAUUGUGGGAUAUUGAAUCUGGCUGCAACACUCUUGUGAACUAUGAAGUUAAGCGCAUUGAACCCCGGAAGGCAUUACAGUUGGCCACUACUCAGGAUUCAUCCCUUGUCUUCGUUCCAUGUAUGGCAACCAUCAAGGCAUUUGAUGUGUGGUCAGGUCGAACAUCCGAGACAUUUCGGGGUCAUUAUGAAAAUGUGAAUUGCUGUUGGUUUAAUUCACAGGAUCAGGAAACCCUUGAAAUAGGCAAGAUCGUUUUAAUCUUUAUUAUUCUGAGCUUGUCAGCUGAUCUAAACCUGGUGGUAAAACAUCAUGGGGCUGACUGAUGCUACCUGCAACUUAUAGAAGGAAAUGUAUACAGGUAGCAAUGAUAGACAAAUUCUUGUGUGGUCUCCACGCAAAAUACGACUUGAUGAAAUGGAUGAAGGAGGAAAUAAUGAGCAAGAUCAGGACUGCUGGAGUGACUGACUGAUGACCCAACUUCUGUCAUUAAUUGUUACAGGAUUUGAGACCAGCUGGGACAGUAACACCAGCAUGUUGAAGUGCAUGUGCAUCACCAUAAACAGAAGUGGAACUUGAUAGGAAUCUUUCUGUUAAUAACUCCUUCGAACUUGGUUUACACUUUGUCAAGCAACAUGUAAAGUUUGUGAGCCUUUAAAUGGUUAUACUAGACUUGUUCACCUAAUGUUUUUGAAUAUUGUUAUCUUUUGGUUUUAGAAAACUAUAUUAAGAGGUGGGAUCUGUUGAAAUUGUUCGAUUUAAUAUUAUCUUCUAAUUUCGGCAGUAA